GCUUAACACAUGCAAGUCGAACGCACCUUUCGGGGUGAGUGGCAGACGGGUGAGUAACGCGUGGGAACGUGCCCUUCAGUUCGGAAUAACCCAGGGAAACUUGGGCUAAUACCGGAUACGUGCGAGAGCAGAAAGAUUUAUCGCUGAAGGAUCGGCCCGCGUCUGAUUAGCUAGUUGGUGAGGUAAUGGCUCACCAAGGCGACGAUCAGUAGCUGGUCUGAGAGGAUGAUCAGCCACAUUGGGACUGAGACACGGCCCAAACUCCUACGGGAGGCAGCAGUGGGGAAUAUUGGACAAUGGGCGCAAGCCUGAUCCAGCCAUGCCGCGUGAGUGAUGAAGGCCUUAGGGUUGUAAAGCUCUUUCGUCCGGGACGAUAAUGACGGUACCGGAAGAAGAAGCCCCGGCUAACUUCGUGCCAGCAGCCGCGGUAAUACGAAGGGGGCUAGCGUUGUUCGGAAUCACUGGGCGUAAAGGGCGCGUAGGCGGCUUUGUAAGUCGGGGGUGAAAGCCUGUGGCUCAACCACAGAAUUGCCUUCGAUACUGCAUGGCUUGAGACCGGAAGAGGUUAGUGGAACUGCGAGUGUAGAGGUGAAAUUCGUAGAUAUUCGCAAGAACACCAGUGGCGAAGGCGGCUGACUGGUCCGGUUCUGACGCUGAGGCGCGAAAGCGUGGGGAGCAAACAGGAUUAGAUACCCUGGUAGUCCACGCCGUAAACGGUGAAUGCCAGCCGUUGGCGAGCUUGCUCGUCAGUGGCGCAGCUAACGCUUUAAGCAUUCCGCCUGGGGAGUACGGCCGCAAGAUU
rnacentral:rRNA from 1 species